AUGGAGAAGUGGUCACUGGUGCAUGAUAGCAACGGAGCAAGAUAUGGCAUCAUGGGCACUGAUAUAACGGAUGUAUAUAAGAACGAUCCUGUAUUGAAAGGUAUAACUUGCCUUCCACUCAGUGCGAUGGUGGAGGUGACAUUCCUGCGCUUGGAAGAGUAUUUCAAAAACACAAGUGCCGCAGCAAACAAAGCAAUCGGCAACCCAUCAGUCAGCUUCCCGGAACGUGUCCAGGAUGACAUGAACUCCAAAAUGCAGAAAGCCGAGAUGCAUCAAGUUCUUGGGGGUGAAGAAGCUCUGAAAUUUACGGUGAAGUCGGGGCAGAGGCAGGUUACCGUGAACUUGAAGUCGGAAUAUACCCACAACAUGGAUAAGUCUAAAGGAUCCACAGCUCGAAAAACUGCUACCUGUUCAUGCAACAAGCCGGAGCUGCUUCACAAGCCUUGCUCUCAUGUCAUUGCCGUCUGUUGUCAUAUUGGGGUUAGCACUGCUGAAUACAUGUCCCCAUACUACAGCCUGACUUGUCUAGGCAGGACCUGGAGUAAAAAAUUCAAUGAGUUCUCACGCAACUACAGAAAGAAUUUGCCACGCUACUACAGAGAUAUUAGACCAUUCGAGCGUGAAACACCAACUUGGAUCCCAGACAAAAGAUUGGAGUGUGGUUUUCCUGUUUAUCUGUUGUCGGACUGCGCACAAACUGCCGUUGUCGUUGAAGAGCAACAGUGCACAACUGAAGAUGAAUCAGUUGCAGACAAUGAAGCAACAAAGGCACGCUCAGAAGAAUCAAGAACCUAG
rnacentral:rRNA from 1 species